AGAAUCAACGCUGGCGGCGUGCCUAACACAUGCAAGUCGAACGAGAAAGUGGAGCAAUCCAUUAGUAAAGUGGCGCACGGGUGAGUAACACGUGACUAACCUACCCUGGAGUGGGGGAUAACUGGGAGAAAUCCUAGCUAAUACCGCAUAAUACCUACGGGUCAAAGGAGCAAUUCGCUUCAGGAGGGGGUCGCGGCCGAUUAGUUAGUUGGCGGGGUAAUGGCCCACCAAGACGAUGAUCGGUAUCCGGCCUGAGAGGGCGCACGGACACACUGGAACUGAAACACGGUCCAGACUCCUACGGGAGGCAGCAGUGGGAAUUUUGCGCAAUGGGGGAAACCCUGACGCAGCAACGCCGCGUGGAGGAUGAAGUCCUUCGGGACGUAAACUCCUUUCGACCGGGACGAUUAUGACGGUACCGGAUGAAGAAGCCCCGGCUAACGUUCGUGCCAGCAGCCGC
rnacentral:rRNA from 1 species